AACGAACGCUGGCGGCAUGCCUAACACAUGCAAGUCGAACGAGAUCCUUCGGGUGUCAGUGGCAGACGGGUGAGUAACACGUGGGAACGUACCCUUUGGUUCGGAACAACUCUGGGAAACUGGAGCUAAUACCGGAUACGCCCUUUUGGGGAAAGGUUUAUCCGCCGAAGGAUCGGCCCGCGUCUGAUUAGCUAGUUGGUGGGGUAACGGCUCACCAAGGCGACGAUCAGUAGCUGGUCUGAGAGGAUGAUCAGCCACACUGGGACUGAGACACGGCCCAGACUCCUACGGGAGGCAGCAGUGGGGAAUAUUGGACAAUGGGCGCAAGCCUGAUCCAGCCAUGCCGCGUGAGUGAUGAAGGCCUUAGGGUUGUAAAGCUCUUUUGUCAGGGAAGAAACGGUGAAGGCUAAUAUCCUUUGCUAAUGACGGUACCUGAAGAAUAAGCACCGGCUAACUACGUGCCAGCAG
rnacentral:rRNA from 1 species